AUCCAUGUUUUAGAAAAUGGUGGAUUAUUGAUUUUUAUUUGGAUAAUUUCACCACCGUUGUCUGUGAACAUGUGUAAA
rnacentral:pre_miRNA from 1 species